rnacentral:rRNA from 1 species
UACGAAGGGGGGCUAGCGUUGCUCGGAAUCACUGGGCGUAAAGCGCACGUAGGCGGACUCUUAAGUCGGUGGUGAAAGCCCCGGGCUUAACCUGGGAAUGGCCAUGGAAACUGGCGAACUGGAGUGUGGCAGAGGGGGGUGGAAUUCCGCGUGUAGCAGUGAAAUGCGUAGAGAUGCGGAGGAACACCGAUGGCGAAGGCAGCCCCCUGGGCUAGCACUGACGCUCAGGCACGAAAGCGUGGGGAGCAAACAGG